UAUGUGUAUAUGUGUCUAUGUAUGUAUCUAUCUUUGUAUCUAUCUAUGUGUCUAUGUAUGUAUGUAUGUAUCUGUGUCUAUGUAUGUACGUAUCUAUGUAUCUAUGUGUCUGUCUAUGUAUCUAUCUAUCUAUGUGUCUAUCAUCUAUCUAUGUGUCUAUCCAUGUAUCUAUCUACCUACCUACCUAUGUCUAAUCUAUGUAUGCAUGUAUCUAUCUAUCUAUGUGUCUAUCUAUCUUUGUACAAAAAAAGUGUCCUUUGUCCAUAGAUACAAAAGGACACUUUGUAUCUAUGUAUCUAUCUAUCAUGUGUCUAUGUAUCUAUGUAUCUAUCUAGCUACCUACCUAUCUAUGUCUAAUCUAUCUAUGUAUCUAUGUACCUACCUACCUACCUACCUACCUAUCUCUCUAUGUCUAAUCUAUGUAUUAUCUAUGGCAGUGGUUUGCAACCAGGCACAGUUUUACUCCCCCAAAAGGACACUUGGUGAUGUGUGGAGAUAUUUUUGA
rnacentral:lncRNA from 13 species